CCUACGGGAGACAGCAGUGAGGAAUAUUGGUCAAUGGGCGCAAGCCUGAACCAGCCAAGUCGCGUGAAGGAUGACUGCUCUACGGGUUGUAAACUUCUUUUGUAAAGGAAUAAAGUGAGACACGUGUGCCUUUUUGUAAGUACUUUAUGAAUAAGGAUCGGCUAACUCCGUGCCAGCAGCCGCGGUAAUACGGAGGAUCCGAGCGUUAUCCGGAUUUAUUGGUUUUAAAGGUCGCGUCGGUGGGUUGUUAAGUCAGUUGUGAAAUUUUGAGGCUUAACCGUAAAAUUGCAACUGAUACUGGCAGUCUUGAGUACAGUUGAGGUAGGCGGAAGGCGUGGUGUAGCGGUGAAAUGCUUAGAGAUCACGAAGAACAACGAUUGCGAAGGCAGCUUACUAAACUGCAACUGACGUUGAGGCACGAAAGUGUGGGGAUCAAACAGGAUUAGAUACCCUUGUAGUC
rnacentral:rRNA from 1 species